rnacentral:rRNA from 1 species
ACUCCUACGGGAGGCAGCAGUGGGGAAUAUUGCACAAUGGGGGAAAGCCCAUCGAUGCAGCCAUGCCGCGUGUGUGAAGAAGGCCUUCGGGUUGUAAAGCACUUUCAGUCGUGAGGAAGGUAGUGUAGUUAAUAGCUGCAUUAUUUGACGUUAGCGACAGAAGAAGCACCGGCUAACUCCGUGCCAGCAGCCGCGGUAAUACGGAGGGUGCGAGCGUUAAUCGGAAUUACUGGGCGUAAAGCGCGUGUAGGUGGCUUGUUAAGCCAGAUGUGAAAG